GUGCUCACUUUGGCAACACAUAUACUAAAAUUGGAAUGAUACACAAGAUACAGAGAAGAUUGGCAUGGCACCUAUGUAAGGAUGCACAUUCGUAAAUAUUUAAUUUUUCUU